UACAGAGGGGGCAAGCGUUGUCCGGAUUUACUGGGCGUAAAGCGCGCGUAGGCGGAACGAUCAGUCCGGUCUGAAAGCCCCCGGCUCAACCGGGGAGGGUGGCUGGAAACUGUCGUUCUUGAGGGCGAGAGAGGAGGGUGGAAUUCCUGGUGUAGCGGUGAAAUGCGUAGAGAUCAGGAGGAACACCGACGGCGUAGGCAGCGCCCUGGACGACACCUGACGCUGAGGCACGAAAGCUGGGGGAGCGAACAGG
rnacentral:rRNA from 1 species